UCCUGGCGUGGGUUCUUUCAUUUCUUCAGUUUUGAUUGAUGAUGAACGACAUCCACUCACAAUAACAGAGAGACACUAUAAGCGAGAGAGGUAUGAGUUGACUGGGAAGUAAGAAACUGGAAUUGGAGCUCCAGAUUUUGGCUUGGCUUCUACAGGUUUCUGUUUCUGAUCAGA